GCUGUCGUGGGCCAUGGUGGCCACCCUCAAAUUGUCAGGUAACACAUUUGACUUUAAGAGGGAAGCGGGGGUUCGAAUCCUCCCGAUGGCA